rnacentral:rRNA from 1 species
CGAGGAACUCCGAUUGCGAAAGGCAGCUUACUGUAGCGCAACUGACGCUGAUGCUCGAAAGCGUGGGUAUCGAACAGGAUUAGAUACCCUGGUAGUCCACGCGGUAAACGAUGGAUGCUCGUUGUCGGCCUUUUUGGUCGGUGACCAAGCGAAAGCGUUAAGCAUCCCACCUGGGGAGUACGCCGGCAACGGUGAAACUCAAAGGAAUUGACGGGGGCCCGCACAAGCGGAGGAACAUGUGGUUUAAUUCGAUGAUACGCGAGGAACCUUACCCGGGCUUGAACUGCGGCGGAACGAUUCCGAGAGGAUGAGGCCCUUCGGGGCUGCCGCGGAGGUGCUGCAUGGUUGUCGUCAGCUCGUGCCGUGAGGUGUCAGCUUAAGUGCCAUAACGAGCGCAACCCCCGUCUUCAGUUGCCAUCGGAUGAUGCCGGGCACUCUGGAGAUACUGCCACCGCAAGGUGUGAGGAAGGUGGGGAUGACGUCAAAUCAGCACGGCCCUUACGUCCGGGGCUACACACGUGUUACAAUGGCGCAUACAGAGAGUCGGUGGCAUGCGAGUGCCAUCCAAUCCUUAAAGUGCGUCUCAGUUCGGACUGGGGUCUGCAACCCGACCCCACGAAGCUGGAUUCGCUAGUAAUCGCGCAUCAGCCAUGGCGCGGUGAAUACGUUCCCGGGCCUUGUACACACCGCCCGUCAAGCCAUGAAAGCCGGGGGCGCCUGAAGUCCGUGACCGCAAGGGUCGGCCUAGGGUGAAACCGGUGAUUGGGGCUAAGUCGUAACAAGGUAGCCG